rnacentral:piRNA from 1 species
UAAGAUAACCUGGUCACACUUGUUCAUUCU